rnacentral:rRNA from 1 species
CACAUGCAAGUCGAGGGGCAGCAUGAACUUAGCUUGCUAAGUUUGAUGGCGACCGGCGCACGGGUGAGUAACGCGUAUCCAACCUGCCCUUUACUCGGGGAUAGCCUUCUGAAAGGAAGUUUAAUACCCGAUGAAUUCGUUUAGUCGCAUGGCUUGAUGAAGAAAGAUUUAUCAGUAAAGGAUGGGGAUGCGUCCCAUUAGCUUGUUGGCGGGGUAACGGCCCACCAAGGCGACGAUGGGUAGGGGUUCUGAGAGGAAGGUCCCCCACAUUGGAACUGAGACACGGUCCAAACUCCUACGGGAGGCAGCAGUGAGGAAUAUUGGUCAAUGGGCGCGAGCCUGAACCAGCUAAGUAGCGUGGAGGACGACGGCCCUACGGGUUGUAAACUCCUUUUAUAAGGGGAUAAAGUUGGCCAUGUAUGGCCAUUUGCAGGUACCUUAUGAAUAAGCAUCGGCUAAUUCCGUGCCAGCAGCCGCGGUAAUACGGAAGAUGCGAGCGUUAUCCGGAUUUAUUGGGUUUAAAGGGAGCGUAGGCGGGCAGUCAAGUCAGCGGUCAAAUGGCGCGGCUCAACCGCGUUCCGCCGUUGAAACUGGCAGCCUUGAGUAUGCACAGGGUACAUGGAAUUCGUGGUGUAGCGGUGAAAUGCUUAGAUAUCACGAGGAACUCCGAUCGCGCAGGCAUUGUACCGGGGCAUUACUGACGCUGAGGCUCGAAGGUGCGGGUAUCAAACAGGAUUAGAUACCCUGGUAGUCCGCACAGUAAACGAUGAAUGCCCGCUGUCGGCGACAUAGUGUCGGCGGCCAAGCGAAAGCGUUAAGCAUUCCACCUGGGGAGUACGCCGGCAACGGUGAAACUCAAGGAAUUGACGGGGGCCCGCACAAGCGGAGGAACAUGUGGUUUAAUU